UACAGAGGUCCCAAGCGUUGUUCGGAUUCACUGGGCGUAAAGGGUGCGUAGGCGGUCGGGUAAGUCUGACGCGAAAUCUCCAAGCUUAACUUGGAAAUGGCGUCGGAUACUAUUCGGCUUGAGGAAUGGAGGGGAGACUGGAAUUCUCGGUGUAGCAGUGAAAUGCGUAGAUAUCGAGAGGAACACCAGUGGCGAAGGCGAGUCUCUGGACAUUUCCUGACGCUGAGGCACGAAAGCCAGGGGAGCAAACAGG
rnacentral:rRNA from 1 species